GCUUCAAUGGCGCAAUUGGCAGCGCAACUGACUUGUAAUCAGUAGGUUGGGGGUUCGACUCCCUCUUGAAGCUCCA
rnacentral:tRNA from 1 species